GAUGAACGCUGGCGGCGUGCCUAAUACAUGCAAGUCGAGCGAACAGACGAGGAGCUUGCUCCUCUGACGUUAGCGGCGGACGGGUGAGUAACACGUGGAUAACCUACCUAUAAGACUGGGAUAACUUCGGGAAACCGGAGCUAAUACCGGAUAAUAUAUUGAACCGCAUGGUUCAAUAGUGAAAGACGGUUUUGCUGUCACUUAUAGAUGGAUCCGCGCCGCAUUAGCUAGUUGGUAAGGUAACGGCUUACCAAGGCAACGAUGCGUAGCCGACCUGAGAGGGUGAUCGGCCACACCGGAACUGAGACACGGUCCAGACUCCUACGGGAGGCAGCAGUAGGGAAUCUUCCGCAAAGGGCGAAAGCCUGACGGAGCAACGCCGCGUGAGUGAUGAAGGUCUUCGGAUCGUAAAACUCUGUUAUUAGGGAAGAACAAAUGUGUAAGUAACUAUGCACGUCUUGACGGUACCUAAUCAGAAAGCCACGGCUAACUACGUG
rnacentral:rRNA from 1 species